GCCGACUUAGCUCAGUAGGUAGGGCAACUGACUUGUAAUCAGUAGGUCACUAGUUCGAUUCCGGUAGUCGGCACCA
rnacentral:tRNA from 1 species